rnacentral:rRNA from 1 species
UUUAACGGAGAGUUUGAUUCUGGCUCAGAACGAACGCUGGCGGCGUGGAUAAGACAUGCAAGUCGAGCGAGAUUUUCCGCUGUAGCAAUACAGUGGAAGGUCUAGCGGCGAACGGGUGCUUAACACGUGGGCAAUCUGCCUUAAAGUGGGGGAUAGCUCGGCGAAAGCCGAAUUAAUACCGCAUGUGAUUAGAGUGGACAUCCAUUCAAAAUCAAAGGUGGCGCAAGCUACCGCUUUUUGAGGAGCCCGCGGCCUAUCAGCUAGUUGGUGAGGUAAC